AGCACCCAGUUUCCUUACUCAUCAAAUAGAAACACUGAUCUGAGUGAUUAUCAAAGGUGAAAAGUAAAAUGGAAACUGACUUCAAUUUUUUUGUGUUGUUGUUACACGUGACUAGUUUCAAAUACAC
rnacentral:snoRNA from 1 species